rnacentral:rRNA from 1 species
UACGGGGGGGGCAAGCGUUGUUCGGAAUUCCUGGGCGUAAAGGGCUCGUAGGCGGCCAACUAAGUCGGAUGUGAAAUCCCCAGGCUUAACCUGGGAACUGCAUCCGAUACUGGAUGGCUUGAAUCCGGGAGAGGGAUGCAGAAUUCCAGGUGUAGCGGUGAAAUGCGUAGAUAUCUGGAGGAAUACCGGUGGCGAAGGCGGCAUCCUGGACCGGCAUUGACGCUGAGUGAGCGAAAGCCAGGGGAGCAAACGGG